AGAGUUUGAUCCUGGCUCAGGAUGAACGCUGGCGGCGUGCCUAAUACAUGCAAGUCGAGCGAACGGACGAGAAGCUUGCUUCUCUGAUGUUAGCGGCGGACGGGUGAGUAACACGUGGAUAACCUACCUAUAAGACUGGGAUAACUUCGGGAAACCGGAGCUAAUACCGGAUAAUAUUUUGAACCGCAUGGUUCAAAAGUGAAAGACGGUCUUGCUGUCACUUAUAGAUGGAUCCGCGCUGCAUUAGCUAGUUGGUAAGGUAACGGCUUACCAAGGCAACGAUGCAUAGCCGACCUGAGAGGGUGAUCGGCCACACUGGAACUGAGACACGGUCCAGACUCCUACGGGAGGCAGCAGUAGGGAAUCUUCCGCAAUGGGCGAAAGCCUGACGGAGCAACGCCGCGUGAGUGAUGAAGGUCUUCGGAUCGUAAAACUCUGUUAUUAGGGAAGAACAUAUGUGUAAGUAACUGUGCACAUCUUGACGGUACCUAAUCAGAAAGCCACGGCUAACUACGUGCCAGCAGCCGCGGUAAUACGUAGGUGGCAAGCGUUAUCCGGAAUUAUUGGGCGUAAAGCGCGCGUAGGCGGUUUUUUAAGUCUGAUGUGAAAGCCCACGGCUCAACCGUGGAGGGUCAUUGGAAACUGGAAAACUUGAGUGCAGAAGAGGAAAGUGGAAUUCCAUGUGUAGCGGUGAAAUGCGCAGAGAUAUGGAGGAACACCAGUGGCGAAGGCGACUUUCUGGUCUGUAACUGACGCUGAUGUGCGAAAGCGUGGGGAUCAAACAGGAUUAGAUACCCUGGUAGUCCACGCCGUAAACGAUGAGUGCUAAGUGUUAGGGGGUUUCCGCCCCUUAGUGCUGCAGCUAACGCAUUAAGCACUCCGCCUGGGGAGUACGACCGCAAGGUUGAAACUCAAAGGAAUUGACGGGGACCCGCACAAGCGGUGGAGCAUGUGGUUUAAUUCGAAGCAACGCGAAGAACCUUACCAAAUCUUGACAUCCUUUGACAACUCUAGAGAUAGAGCCUUCCCCUUCGGGGGACAAAGUGACAGGUGGUGCAUGGUUGUCGUCAGCUCGUGUCGUGAGAUGUUGGGUUAAGUCCCGCAACGAGCGCAACCCUUAAGCUUAGUUGCCAUCAUUAAGUUGGGCACUCUAAGUUGACUGCCGGUGACAAACCGGAGGAAGGUGGGGAUGACGUCAAAUCAUCAUGCCCCUUAUGAUUUGGGCUACACACGUGCUACAAUGGACAAUACAAAGGGCAGCGAAACCGUGAGGUCAAGCAAAUCCCAUAAAAGUUGUUCUCAGUUCGGAUUGUAGUCUGCAACUCGACUACAUGAAGCUGGAAUCGCUAGUAAUCGUAGAUCAGCAUGCUACGGUGAAUACGUUCCCGGGUCUUGUACACACCGCCCGUCACACCACGAGAGUUUGUAACACCCGAAGCCGGUGGAGUAACCUUUUAGGAGCUAGCCGUCGAAGGUGGGACAAAUGAUUGGGGUGAAGUCGUAACAAGGUAGCCGUAUCGGAAGGUGCGGCUGGAUCACCU
rnacentral:rRNA from 1 species